GACCUCAGAUCAGGCAGGAUUACCCGCUGAACUUAAGCAUAUCAAUAAGCGGAGGAAAAGAAACUAACAAGGAUUCCCCUAGUAGCGGCGAGCGAAGCGGGAAGAGCUCAAAUUUAUAAUCUGGCACCUUCGGUGUCCGAGUUGUAAUCUCUAGAAGUGUUUUCCGCGUUGGACCGCACACAAGUCUGUUGGAAUACAGCGGCACAGUGGUGAUACCCCCGUACACGGUGCGGACGCCCAGCGCUUUGUGAUACACUUUCAAUGAGUCGAGUUGUUUGGGAAUGCAGCUCAAAUUGGGUGGUAAAUUCCAUCUAAAGCUAAAUAUUGGCGAGAGACCGAUAGCGAACAAGUACCGUGAGGGAAAGAUGAAAAGCACUUUGGAAAGAGAGUUAACAGUACGUGAAAUUGUUGGAAGGGAAACGCUUGAAGUCAGACUUGCUUGCCGGAGCUUGCUUCGGUUUGCAGGCCAGCAUCAGUUUUCCGGGGUGGAUAAUGGUGGUUUGAAGGUAGCAGCCUCGGCUGUGUUAUAGCUUUCCACUGGAUACAUCCUGGGGGACUGAGGAACGCAGCGUGCUUUUUGCGAAGGUUUCGACCUUUUCACGCUUAGGAUGCUGGUGUAAUGGCUUUAAACGACCCGUCUUGUAACACGGACCAAGGAGUCUAACAUGCUUGCGAGUAUUUGGGUGUCAAACCCGGAUGCGCAAUGAAAGUGAAUGAAGGUGGGAUCCGCAAGGUGCACCAUCGACCGAUC
rnacentral:rRNA from 1 species